rnacentral:sRNA from 1 species
GCAGCUGCUGCUGCGGCUGCUGCUGCCGCCGCUGCUGCCGGUGGAAAUGUCGCACUGGCUACCGCCGCCGCCCAAGCGGCAGCUGC